CGGUCUCCUUCUUCAAAACACUUAAUAGAGUCUGAGAACUUUCUAGAAUCUUGGAGAGAGGAGAAAAAAAGGAAUUAAGCAAGCAAAUAUGAACUGUAUUCUGGUUUUAUGCUGACGCCGCGAACAAGAAAAAUAAUCCUAGCGUCUAGAAAGAAAAUAUUCUGGGCAAUUUUCUUCAGAAUUCUUCUACAAUUCCUUCAUCAGUGUGCACGGAUUCACACUUCCAGAAAAUCUACCAGGAAUAGAAGGCCAUCUGUAUACUGUAUACCUUCAGGAAACUCAUUUCAACAAACAAUUUGAGACAAACUUAUUCUGAUCUCUUUAGGAUGGACAGUAGGUGAACUGGGACACAGGGACACGGUCUUCCACCCCAUGUGCCAUGGCUGUGUUGUUUUUUAAUCAGCAACAUGUGGGAGUUUGUGUCUACUCCAAUAGUCUGACUAUGUGUACUACCAAGAGUCUGAAUGAAAGCUGUCAACUUGUACAGCAGCAUUCGCAUUAAACUUCGUUAAUUCUGGAUUGAGCUUUAUGAUCUAAAGCACAACUCAAGUGUGUUCUUAAAGAUCUACACUGCAAAAAAAUCUCCAAAGAUGAAAAGAGAAAAAGAGAAUGAUCGAAUAAGACUCGUGCCGUACUUUCAUGUAAGCAGCUUCCGUCUCAGCGAUGGUCCUAUCAAGCUCAUUGCGUGUAGCGAGGCGGUGGUCCAGACUCUCGGACACGCGGCUUAACUUCUCCGUAAGCACACGGACGUCAUGCUGAAGACGAGCCUUCUCCUCUUCCUCCUGCUGGAUCUGCUUAUUUAGCUCAUCUCUUUUAAAGAACAGCUCCUCUAUACCUGAGGAAGCAGAAGUGAAUUACGUUUGGAAAUUUCUGGAACGUUGAAGCUUUAAAAGAAAAUAAAACAUGGCGGCUCAUAUUGUCAGAAGAAAAGCAUCUAAAACAGUGGUGCACUGGUGUAAUACCAUCAUGAAGUUGAUUAUAGGUGUUGUAUUUUGUAUUUAUUCAAAUAUGACAGACCAAAAUAUUUUCCACUUGGUGUUGUGGAAUGACAAAAAAAAAAAGCUAAAAAUAAUGAGUUUGACACGUUCUGACCAAUCAGAUUUGAGAAUUCAGCAGCGCUGUUGUAAAGUCAGGCGAUACAGUAAGCUGUCUAACGAACGUCUGCUUUUACAUAAAGCUACUGCAAAGUUCUGUGCAUUUAUUCAUCAUAAUGAAAAAUAAGUGGGAUUUUCUGUAUGCACAAAAAAAAAAAAAAAAGCUUAGAUCAGCUGAAUUUUGGCUGAA